ACGGCGGGUACGUUAAUAAAAAUUGAAAAGACUGCUAAAGUUGUAGUCUAGUCGUUCACUUCUUUUACAUUAAAAUAAAUGAUCGUAGUCCUUCUGCGUGCCUAUAGAUCUAUAUUAAACACGGGUUUUCUAUAGCUUUGUCUUAUAAUGGUCUUUAAUGCACCUUCUAAACACGAUCGCCGACGGACCAUAGACUUACAAUGCGCAUAGGUUUCCAUGUAUAUUCUAGACACGACCGCCAGAGCCACAGCUACCGGCAUUACACGUGCCGUGGUCAUUUUAAAUAAUAAUAUCUACAUAUUAUAAACAAUAAUAAUAAUAAUAAUAGUAAUAUGGUCUUCUACUUUUUGUGGUUCAUAGCGGCACAGCAGAAAACAGCUACCACACCUACCAGUUACCACCACCACGAAUAUAGGUACGGUACCACGCGCGUCCCCGCCACCACCGUUACCGCUGCCAAGGGGUUAUUGGCAUUAGAAUUUUUUUCUCUCUUCUCAUUAAAUUCCCUAACCGGAAGCUAAGUUACAAUAAUAAUAUAGUAUAAACAAUAUAUUGUGUGUCCCUCGACAUCGGCUUCGACGGUAGCGGCAAUACAGAUCGAAGUAGUCGAUGAUUCGAGCGUCAAAAACACGCGAUAAGCUCAAACGAUUUGACGUCUAUUCGUAUAAGAAUUUUGCAAAAACUACAACUAAAAAUGUCUAUAUUCUAUAAUGAAGACAGAAAAUUGUCAUUACCUAACCGUAUACUAAUGACCUAAUUCAUUUUAGAAACACUCUGUAUAGAUUGAAGAAGAUAAUAUCGAAAUCGAUAAUACAAAGGCAAAAAAUAUGUAUACGAAAAUAGUGAACGCCAUCUUAAUUUUAAUAGUAUUAUUUUUAUCGUUAUCAGUAUUACUGUUUAUUUAUUUGGAUAAUCGUAAAUCGCAAUGGAUUCUGGUAAGUCACAACUUCCGUGUCAGGGGGUGUACGGACAUUGUAUGGCUGUGCGCAUUUUUGGUUCUCUGGUGUCUGAUGGUGGGUAGCUAAAUAUAUGUUAUAUUUCUAUAUACCAAAGUUUGGAAAGUUCAUGAUUUUCUUAAACUGAGUUAUGUUAAGUUGUUAUGCAUUUAUA